GACGGGAAAACAAAAAAAAAAACAGAUAAGCGAAUUUGUAGAGAAGCAGUGGAAACUGAAGAUCUGUGAGGUUAUUUGCUUUGUGAUCCGUCAUUGAAUUCUGUGACCUGAAGUUUCCAUCGAUGGAAUCUUCUUCAAAUUUGAAUCCCCUUCGCGAAGAUAUCUCCGACGAAGAACCAAUAGAAGCUCCGGCGUCUGUCUUCGCCGCUCGACCUCUUCGUCCUCCUUCUACGAGCUCUUCGGAGAAGUAUUCGCCUGUAGAAUGGACAAGUUAUUUUGACAAGGAAGACGAUAUAUCAAUCCCUGGCUCAGACGAUGUCUUUCACGUAUAUAUGGCAGGAACAGAAGGACCUGUUGUCUUUUUUCUCCAUGGAGGUGGCUACUCUGGGCUCUCCUUUUCUUUAGUGGCUGGUAAAGUCAAGGAGAAAGCACGUGUGGUUGCGAUGGACUUGAGAGGACACGGUAAAUCGGUUUCAGAGAAUGAACUGGAGUUGUCGCUAGAGACAAUGAGCAAUGAUGUUUUGGCGGUGAUCAAGGAAUUGUAUGGAGACUCUCCUCCAGCUAUUGUGCUAGUUGGUCACAGCAUGGGAGGCUCGGUCGCUGUGCAAGUUGCUGCAAGCAAAGCAUUGCCUAGCUUGGCUGGGCUUGUCGUUGUGGAUGUUGUUGAGGGUACUGCUAUUGCCUCAUUGAUGCACAUGCAAAAAAUUCUUUCAAAUAGAAUGCAACAUUUUCCCAGCAUCCAAAAAGCAAUUGAGUACAGCGUUAGAGGAGGGUCAUUAAGGAACAUUGAUUCUGCUCGUGUCUCCAUCCCCACAACUCUCAAAUAUGAUGAUUCAAAACAGUGCUAUGUUUACCGGACGCGUCUAGCGGAAACAGAGCAAUAUUGGAAAGACUGUUGCCUUGCAGGUACGAUGGUCUCUCGGAGAAGUUCUUAUCAUCUCCUGUUCCAAAACUCUUGCUAUUAGCUGGAACUGACAGGUUGGACAGGACACUCACAAUUGGUCAAAUGCAAGGAAAGUUUCAGAUGAUCGUGGUCAAACACACCGGACAUGCCAUACAGGAAGAUGUACCGGAGGAGUUUGCGGAUCUAGUUCUGAAUUUCAUAUCACGUAACAGAAUUGGGCCUCAUGGUGUUGAGAUACCUGGAUCGUGGAAACCUUCACAACCCAAGACUUAAUUAGCCACAUCAUCGGAGCUUGUAUCGCUUUCAAAUGUUUUGCUUGUCAGCUUAUGAAUUAGUAACAACAAUUUUUAACAUGUCUACUCUAGCUCGUGUUACAAGAAAAUAAAUAGACGUCAACAUGAGUGAAAAGAAUAAAAAUCA